rnacentral:rRNA from 1 species
AACGAACGCUGGCGGCAUGCCUAACACAUGCAAGUCGAACGAGACCUUCGGGUCUAGUGGCGCACGGGUGCGUAACGCGUGGGAAUCUGCCCCUCGGUUCGGAAUAACAGUUAGAAAUGACUGCUAAUACCGGAUAAUGACUUCGGUCCAAAGAUUUAUCGCCGAGGGAUGAGCCCGCGUAAGAUUAGGUAGUUGGUGGGGUAAAGGCCUACCAAGCCGACGAUCUUUAGCUGGUCUGAGAGGAUGAUCAGCCACACUGGGACUGAGACACGGCCCAGACUCCUGCGGGAGGCAGCAGUGGGGAAUAUUGGACAAAGGGCGAAAGCCUGAUCCAGCAAUGCCGCGUGAGUGAUGAAGGCCUUAGGGUUGUAAAGCUCUUUUACCAGGGAUGAUAAUGACAGUACCUGGAGAAUAAGCUCCGGCUAACUCCGUGCCAGCCGCCGCAGUAA